rnacentral:rRNA from 1 species
UACAUAGGAUGCAAGCAUUAUCCGGAUUUACUGGGCGUAAAGCGAGCGCAGGCGGAUUUGCAAGUCUGGUGUUAAAUGCAGCUGCUUAACGGUUGUAUGCAUUGGAAACUGCAAGUCUAGAGUGCAGUAGGGAGUUCUGGAACUCCAUGUGGAGCGGUGGAAUGCGUAGAUAUAUGGAAGAACACCAGUGGCGAAGGCGAGAACUUGGACUGUAACUGACGCUUAGGCUCGAAAGUGUGGGGAGCAAAUA